rnacentral:tRNA from 1 species
GGCCGGUUAGCUCAACGGUUUGAGCACGGUGCUAACAAUGACAACACCGAGCUGCGGGUUCGAUUCCUGCUCGGUCC